UUUUUUUUUUUUUUUUUUUUGAAAUGCACCAAAAAUAGGAUGAAUCAUCAGGAUCCGAAUCCCAGCCUAAUGGCUUUCCCAGCUGCCCCAGCUGCCCUCCCCAUUCCACUCUUCUGGCAUUUCCCGGAGUGAAAGUUUUACACACUUAAUGUGAUGCCCAUGACCCCGGAGGACCCAGAUGAAAGGCUGCUGUCCUGAGUCUCGCUCUUACUGUCUGUCUUCCGUUUCUAGAUGAGGAAACAGAGGCACGAGGUCGCAGAGUUGAGCUGGAACACUGACCUCUGGCUUGGCUCCGCUCCAGCUCCAUCUAAUUUCCUAAGAAGCUGACACCUCUAAGACAGUGUUCAGGUGGUGUGAAUCAGGCAGAUGGCAUCCGCAUCCACGGGUCUUGGGGAGUAGUGAUCAUAGCACUGAUAACCUAAGUUCAUCAUGUGGGUGGGAGCUGCAGGGCUUCACACACCUCAUGCAGUAGAAGCUACUAGACCACCUUGUGGAUAAAGUGUUACAAUCACACCCUCUCCCCACUUUUUUUUUUUCAGUGCCUGUAGUUGCCUGACAGUUUGCUGCAGGCUUGGGGACACAUAGUAGGCAAGUGUUUGACCACUGAGAUACACCUCAGCUCUAGCCCCUGUUAGCUCCCAUUUUCCAAAGCAGGCAACUGAGGCUUUAAAGGGGUCUAUAAUUUCUGGAUACUACUAAAAGCUGCUAAAAAGCAAGCUGGAGCCUCCCGCCUGCGUCCCUUCAGAAGCCUUGCUUUUAACUUGAAUGGUGCUGCUGACAAACCUACAAAAGAUCUCAUGUUUCAAAGGCCUCACUCAUUCAAAGCCCAUGCCCCAAAGUAAAGAGUGUCACCUCAAGGAAAGAUGUCAUUUGCAGGGAAGGUGUGCCCUCCACUAGUAGGUAACCUGUGUCUGAGGUAUAGGGAGGACAUGGAGCAAGAGGCUGUGAUAGCGGGGCUUGGUGAUCAAGAGAAGCCUCCUUAAAUCGAGAUUUAUGGGCUGUUCUUGGUGCCCCCUGCUAUCUUGGUGCAAGAUAGAGCCCUAUUACUGAGUCCUUCAGAGACAAGCAAAGCAGUGUCUUCCCAUGGGGAAAGGGAUGGAGAAGUUGACUCAGACAACAGUGGGUCCCAUGCUCAAGAGCCUGCUGACACCGUGAGAACUAAAAUUCUAAAAUGCAUGUUGGUGAGAGAAGCCAUCUGAUGCUGUCUCUGGUCCUUCGGAUGGAAGGGUUAUCUGGGAUGCAGGACAACCAGAGGAUCCAUCCAUUUUGUACUCCCACAGGAGUACCUAACUCUGCAUGAGCCAGACAGAGGCCACAUUUCAUGAUGGCACCAUGGUUCUACAGGUCCAUGCUGAUUGUGCCACCCCCUAGAGAAGCUGGGUUAUAAAAUCAUUAUAUGGAAAGCACUUGGCAGUCAGACACUGGGCAGGGUAGAUGCCAGUUCAGCCAGAUGAAUUUGUGUUUCACUUCACUAAUAUUAGAGUAAAUGAUUACUUCCUGAUUAUGCUUUACACUAAAACUAAAAGGAUUUAUUCUCAAUUCCCAUAUAAACAACUUAUAAAGAGCAGAGGAUAUUGGCAGAUUUCAUUACACAUCAGAAGCUUAAUCUUCAGGAAAACGAACCUAUUUAGAUAAAUUUUAACUUCUCAUAAUUAUGUUUCUACUUUAGUUGGAAUUGCACUACAUCUUUAUAUUAAAUAGUGUUUUUCCGGUUAGUAUUUCUAAUUUACCAACUAGGAGACCAUACUUUUUCUCUCUUUCUUUAAACCUUACCUCAUUUCUCCUAUUAAGGCUGCAUAAUUUGAAUGUCUUUUAUGGUCAUUAUAACCACAUAAUUCACAUCUCUAUUUUGAUAGCUUUUAGGAUACAAUAAGUUUCUAUUCCACUACUGAGAUUAAAUAAUUCAGCUGAUUUUUGUGUUUAUAAGGAACACUACUUUAUUUUGAUGAGCACAACUAUUUCUUCAAAGAAAGUUGAUGUUAAUUUUUGAUGAACUUUAUGUCAUAAUAAUCAUGUCACCAAACGAUGGGAACGAGUUAGUCAUAUAAUCUUCAAAACAGCAAUCCCUGGGUGUCUUAGUUAGGGUUUCCAUUGCUGUGAAGAGACACCAUGACCAAGGCAACUCUUAGAAAGGGAAACAUUUAAUUGGGACUGGCUUCCUGUGUCUAAGGUUCAAUCCGUUAUCAUCAUGGCUGGGAGCAUGGCAGCAUCCAGGCAGGCAUGAUGCUGGAGGAGCUGAGAGUUCUACAGCUUCAUCCAAAGGAAGCCAGGAGCAGACUGGCUCCCACGUGGCUAGGAGGAGGGUCUCUAAGCCCACCCCCACAGUAACACCCUUCCUCCAACAAAGCCAUCCCUACUAACAGUGCCACUCCCUACACCAAGCAUAUUCAAACCACCGCACUGGGCAAGCAGCUCUUUCAUAGGCAGCAGUGACGGGUUGGUUAGUAAUCUCCUUAUAAGGUACAAUUUCCCCAUUGUGGCAGGAAUUGGGGAGACACAGAUCAAAACAAAGAAAUGCUCUUUUGUUUUUAACAUGCCAUUACACACAGUCCCCUUCUGUGGAGAGCCCUUCCCCGCAGUGUACAGGAAUGUGUAGUAUUAUUGCAAAGGAGCUGGAGAUGUAGCUUAAAGAUGGAGUUCUUGUCCAGCAUGUGUGAAGCCCUAUAUUCAAUCCUUAACGUUGCAAAAUAU
rnacentral:lncRNA from 1 species